rnacentral:rRNA from 1 species
CCUACGGGAGGCAGCAGUGGGGGAUAUUGCACAAUGGGGGGAACCCUGAUGCAGCGACGCCGCGUGAGUGAAGGAGGGCUUCGGCAUGUAAAGCUCUAUCGGCAGGGAAGAAGCAAGACGGUACCUGACUAAGAAGCCCCGGCUAACUACGUGCCAGCAGCCGCGGUAAUACGUAGGGGGCGAGCGUUAUCCGGAUUCACUGGGUGUAAAGGGAGCGUAGGCGGGCAUGCAAGCCAGGGGUGAAAGCUCGGGGCUCAACCCCGAGACUGCGGUUGAAACUGGCUGGCUGGAGUGAGGGAGGGGUAGGCGGAAUGCCUGGUGUAGCGGUGAAAUGCGUAGAUAUCAGGAGGAACACCGGCGGCGAAGGCGGCCAGCUGGACUGCGACUGACGCUGAGGCUCGAAAGUGUGGGGAGCGAACAGGAUUAGAUACCCCAGUAGUC